GACAGAGGGGGCAAGCGUUAUUCGGAAUUAUUGGGCGUAAGGGGCGCGUAGGCGGCCUGGCAAGUGGAAGGUGAAAUCCCUCGGCUUAACCGAGGAACUGCCCUCCAAACUGCUUGGCUUGAGUCCGGGAGAGGUGAGUGGAAUUCCCAGUGUAGCGGUGAAAUGCGUAGAUAUUGGGAAGAACACCCGUGGCGAAGGCGGCUCUCUGGGACGGUACUGACGCUGAGACGCGAAAGCGUGGGGAGCGAACAGG
rnacentral:rRNA from 1 species